rnacentral:rRNA from 1 species
AGAGUUUGAUCCUGGCUCAGGACGAACGCUGGCGGCGUGCCUAAUACAUGCAAGUAGAACGCUGAAGGAGGAGCUUGCUUCUCCGGAUGAGUUGCGAACGGGUGAGUAACGCGUAGGUAACCUGCCUGGUAGCGGGGGAUAACUAUUGGAAACGAUAGCUAAUACCGCAUAAGAGUAGAUGUUGCAUGACAUUUGCUUAAAAGGUGCAAUUGCAUCACUACCAGAUGGACCUGCGUUGUAUUAGCUAGUUGGUGGGGUAACGGCUCACCAAGGCGACGAUACAUAGCCGACCUGAGAGGGUGAUCGGCCACACUGGGACUGAGACACGACCCAGACUCCUACGGGAGGCAGCAGUAGGGAAUCUUCGGCAAUGGACGGAAGUCUGACCGAGCAACGCCGCGUGAGUGAAGAAGGUUUUCGGAUCGUAAAGCUCUGUUGUAAGAGAAGAACGAGUGUGAGAGCGGAAAGUUCACACUGUGACGGUAUCUUACCAGAAAGGGACGGCUAACUACGUGCCAGCAGCCGCGGUAAUACGUAGGUCCCGAGCGUUGUCCGGAUUUAUUGGGCGUAAAGCGAGCGCAGGCGGUUAGAUAAGUCUGAAGUUAAAGGCUGUGGCUUAACCAUAGUACGCUUUGGAAACUGUUUAACUUGAGUGCAAGAGGGGAGAGUGGAAUUCCAUGUGUAGCGGUGAAAUGCGUAGAUAUAUGGAGGAACACCGGUGGCGAAAGCGGCUCUCUGGCUUGUAACUGACGCUGAGGCUCGAAAGCGUGGGGAGCAAACAGGAUUAGAUACCCUGGUAGUCCACGCCGUAAAC